rnacentral:lncRNA from 1 species
GUCUUUGAACUUUGAGCACUGUCUGUUGCUACUGGCUUAGGAGGAGAACUAAAUGGCUGUUCCCGAGCUGAUGACUUGGGAGUUUCCUCACGCAAAGACCUCUUGGAUUCUGAAAUUUGCUUAGAAGCUGCUUGUUCUGCUGAUCUAGGUGACUGCCUAGAACUUGCCCAGUAAUCUGAACUCUCUGACUGAGAUGGUGGUUUUUGCUGACUAGAACUAAAUGGCUGUUCCCGAGCUGAUGACUUAGGAGUUUCCUCACGCAAAGACCUCUUGGAUUCUGAAAUUUGCUUAGAAGCUGCUUGUUCUGCUGAUCUAGGUGACUGCCUAGAACUUGCCCAGUAAUCUGAACUCUCUGACUUAGAUGGUAGUUUUUGCUGACUAGAAAUAGCAUCCGAACUCCUUUGGGAUGAUUCUUCAUAUGAGAACCUCUUGGACUGCUGAAUUCGCUUAGAAGCUGCUUCUUCU